ACCUUUCCCUAGUACGAGAGGACCGAGAAGAACGCACCCAUGGUGUACCAGUUAUCUUGCCCACGGUAAACAAUGGGCAGCCAAGUGCAGAGCGGAUAACUGCUGAAAGCAUCUAAGAAUUGA